rnacentral:misc_RNA from 1 species
GAAAUGUUAUUGGCCCUUGAUGAGAACAACCACCAACAUGGUGGUUCAUCUUCACGACAAAUCAACAACUUGCCACAGUCGACAGUUCAGAAUGAGAGUCUUCAAGAACCAUGUGCUGUUUGUCUCGAAACUCCAACCAUAGGGGACGUUAUCCGCCAUCUCCCUUGCUUACACAAGUUUCACAAAGACUGCAUUGAUCCAUGG